UGAGAGAAAGAAGCAACCAGACUUUGCUUGAGCGAAAGGUCGGAUGAGCGAGGCCACCGCGGCUUUGAAGCUUGUUCCUCCACUCUCAAGAGCGGUUCUGCGAGGACAGAGAGCACAGAAGGCCACAACAGGUUGCUCACACAUCCCCCCUGUAGCAGAGCUUCUCUGCGACACAGACAGAGGCCUGACCUCCAAGUUUUUUUUUGUUUUUUUUUUCCACCGCAUCUUCUUUAUUCUCUUCCCUCCUCUGCUGUUCAUUCCUCCCCUGCCUCCCUCCCCUCUGCCAGCCAAGUCUUGGAUCAAUGCACCAUUGAUUUUCCUAUCAAUGAACGUUAGUAUUGGAUCAGACUGCUGCUUGCUCUGUCCUGCCCUGUAACCUCCAUACAUGCAUAAAAAGGGAAAUAAUUUGAUUUUGUUGCAGCCUUGCUAAAAAAAA